UGAGGAAUCUUCCGCAAUGGGCGAAAGCCUGACGGAGCAACGCCGCGUGAAUGAAGAAGGCCUUCGGGUCGUAAAGUUCUGUCUUUUGGGAAGAAGUCUCUAUGGGUAAAUAAUCCAUAGAGGUGACGGUACCAGAGGAGGAAGAUCCGGCUAACUACGUGCCAGCAGCCGCGGUAAUACGUAGGGAGCAAGCGUUGUCCGGAAUUACUGGGCGUACAGGGCGCGUAGGCGGGUAUUUAAGUCAGAUGUGAAAGCUCCGGG
rnacentral:rRNA from 1 species